rnacentral:misc_RNA from 1 species
UAUUAAUUCGACUUACAUAACCUUG